UGGUGAUACAAGUUGUGUGCAAGUUUGGUUAAAAUAAAAUCAUAAAUGAAACCACUAUCGUGCAGACAAGAAAUUGUUGACGCACGGACUGACGACGGACGAAGGGUGAUCACAAAAGCUCACCUUGUCACUAUGUGAGCUAAAAAGUAAAAUAGGGUUAUGGAACCUGCAUAGUGCUUAUCAGCUCAUGACAGUGGACAAGUGUAUGAAGUUUCAAUCCAUUCCCAUUAGUGGGUACUGAGAUACCAGCUUAAAUAUAAGAAUUUAACCCAAAAAUCCUAAGUUGAAAAGGGGCAUAAUUUUUUUAAAAUGCGAAGUUGAGUUAUUGACCCUUUGCACUGCAUGUCAUAUCAUGACAGUGAACUAGUGUGUGAAGUUUCAAUCCUUUCCCAUUAGUGGAUACUGAGAUACCAGCUUACAUACAAAAACUUAACCAAAAAUUUCCAUGUUGAAAAAGGGGCAUAAUUUUGUAAAAAAGCAAAAUAAAGUUAUGGGACCUGCUUUGUGCAUGUCAGAUCAUGACAGUGAACAAGUAAGUGAAGUUUCAAUCCAUUCCCAUUAGUGAGUACUGAGAUACCAGCUUACAUACAAAACCUUAACCA